rnacentral:lncRNA from 1 species
GGGCUUCCCGGGCCGCUUCGGGGAGGUGGGCAGGAAAGGGCACGCAGCCCUAAGUGACUCUCGGCUGAGACUGCCUCUCCUCAUCCCAGCAGUAGCCAGCCAAUGAAAAAUAGGCUCAGGGGGUUCCCGAGCCAAUGGAAGCCCGCGGGCCGUGAGGACUUGCCACUAGAAACGUUUAUGGUGUCCCGGCCCGGAGACUUCUGUGUGUUUGUUAGGCGGGGCGGGGGGCGUCUUCCCAGCAGCCCAGGACAGGUGUGUGCCCAGGCGGAUUAGAGCGCCUGCUGUUGUUUUGAAGAAUGGAUGGUUACAUAACAGAUGGCCAGCUGGUCUACCUAGAAGGGCCUUACAAAGGACAGUGCCUCCGUGGGGAAGGCUCACCCUGGAUCAGACGCCGGAUUGCAGAUUUACCAUGAAUGAAGCCCUUGGAGACUGAAUCAUGUUAAAAAUUCAAAAACAACUCAGUAAAUAUUUAUUUGAAGUCCUGCUGUUCUUCAAGGCCCUGGAAUGCAGAUAUGAGAAGAGUCACUGCUGCCCAAGAGCUGACUGACUGUGGAGGAAGACCAUGCUAGCAGGUGGCUACGUUUUCUACCACCUAGCACCUGCUCCCCCUUCUCCUGGUUUCUCAACAGGGGUCCCUCAUGUGAACUACAGAAUAUAGAAAGAUUGAAUGACUAAUUAUACUAGAACCAUUCAAGAUGCAUAGGAGAGAACUCAGUUUGUUACACACAGGAGAUUCCUUAAAGAACUAAAAGUAAGACUAUCAUUAGAUCCAGCAAUCCCACUACUGGGUAUCUACCCAGAGGAAAAGAAGUCAUUAUACGAAAAAGAUACUUUCACAUGCAUGUUUAUAGCAGCACAAUUUGCAAUUGCAAAAAUGUGGAACUAACUCAAAUGCCCAUUAAUCAAUGAGUAGAUAAAGAAACUGUGGUAUAUCUAUACAAUGGAAUACUACUCAGCCAUUAAAAGGAAAGAAUUAAUGGCAUUUACAACGACCUGGAUGAGAUUGGAGACUAUUAUUCUAAGUGAUAUAACUCAGGAAUGGAAAAUCAAACAUCGUAUUUUCUCACUCAUAAGUGGGAGCUAAGCUAUGAGGAUGCAAAGGCAUAAGAAUGACACAAUGGAUUUGGGGGACUCAGGGAAAGAGUAGGAAGGGGGUGAAGGAUAAAAGACUACAAAUUGGGUGCAUUGUGUACUGCUUGGGUUAUGUGUGCACCAAAAUCUCACAAAUCACCACUACAGGACUUACUCAUGUAACCAAACACCACCUGUUCUCCAAUAACCUAUAGAAACAAAAAAUUUAAAACAAAGAAAAACUUUCUAAUAACCACAUUUAAAAAGUAAAAAGAAAAAAAUUGUUACACACAAAGGAUGCAGUGAUGGUUAAUUUUAUGUGUCAACAUUAAUUUAAUUAAAGUUAAUGUCAAACAUUAUUCAGGAUAUGUCUUUGAGGGUGUUUCUGGGUGACAAUGACAUUUAAAUCUGUAGACUGAUUAAAGCAGACACCCUCCCUAAUUAAUGAUGGGGGAGCCUCAACCGGUCAGUUGAUGGCCUGAAUAGGACAAAAGGGCUGACCCUCCUGAGAGUAAGAGUGAAUUUCUCCUGCCUGAGUCAGACUGGAACUACACCAUUGGCUCUUCUGGGUCUCCAGCUUGCCAACUGCAGAUCUUGGGACUUCUCAGCCUCCAUAAUCACAUGAACCAAUUCCUUAAAAUAAAUCUCUUUCUCUCUAUAUACAUACAUCCUAUUAGUUCUGUUUCUCUGAAGAAAUGAUUAAUACAGAUGUCUUGGGGCAUCAGGCUUUAUUUCUC